AACGCGAAGAACCUUACCAGGUCUUGACAUCCUUUGACCACUUUAGAGAUAGAGCUUUCCCUUCGGGGACAAAGUGACAGGUGGUGCAUGGUUGUCGUCAGCUCGUGUCGUGAGAUGUUGGGUUAAGUCCCGCAACGAGCGCAACCCUUAUUGUUAGUUGCCAUCAUUUAGUUGGGCACUCUAGCGAGACUGCCGGUGACAAACCGGAGGAAGGUGGGGAUGACGUCAAAUCAUCAUGCCCCUUAUGACCUGGGCUACACACGUGCUACAAUGGACGGUACAAUGAGUCGCAAGACCGCGAGGUUUAGCUAAUCUCUUAAAGCCGUUCUCAGUUCGGAUUGUAGGCUGCAACUCGCCUCCAUGAAGUCGGAACCGCUAGUAAUCGUGGAUCAGAAUGCCACGGUGAAUACGUUCCCGGGUCUUGUACACACCG
rnacentral:rRNA from 1 species